AUAAUUAUACUCUAAUAAAACGUUAUAUUUUGUUAUUUCCAGAAACAUUGAUUGCUGCCAGUCAACAGGUGAAUGCCAAUCACCAUCCACAGCUCGGAUAUCGCUUCCAUCAGGUCCCAAAAGAUUUGUCCAGAAAUGUUUGGUGUUUAACCAAACCCAAAAAGAUAUAAGAAAGUUAAAACAAGAAAUCAUCCGAUUAAGAAAAAGGUGCCACAAUUUUAGAACCCGAUUGGACAAUGCAGAGAAACUUAGUAACUCACUAGCUUUGCAAAAAGUGACAAGUAAAAUGAGAUUGCCAGCAAAAUUAUUUACAAAUAUACAGUUCCGCGAGAGUAAGAUAAAACCCAAGGGUCACAGGUUUCAUAUGUCAGAAAAAGUGCU
rnacentral:misc_RNA from 1 species